rnacentral:tRNA from 1 species
GAGAAUAUAGCUUAGUGGCAAAGCACCUGCCUGAUAAGUGUGAAGUUGUGAGUUUGAUUCUUGCUAUCA